UGGAGUGUGACAAUGGUGUUUGUGUCCUGUAUGUCAAACGCCAUUAUCACACUAAAUA
rnacentral:pre_miRNA from 1 species